GUUGAUACCAGAGGAAAUAAUUCACACUACGUUCGGGUGCCCAAAUAUGUGCGGUCGUCUGUAUAUGCAUGCUACCAGUUUAACGAAGCACAUGAAGUACGAGUGUGGGAAACCGAAACAGUUUAAAUGUUCCGAAUGUGGAAGGGAGUUCCAUCAGAAGGGUCACUUGAAAAGACAUAUUCGCGCGAAGCAUAAACAUAUAUCCGUUUGAGUUUUUUUUUUUCACAGAACGAUUAAAAAAUUUAUUCACGUGUCCAAAUAAUUGCGGUCGUCAGUAUAAAUAUAAACAAGGACUGCAUGCUCAUCUGAGAGCAAUUAGUUUUGACUUCGUUCGAGUGCCCAAAUAUGUGCGGUCGUCAGUAUAAACGUGCUACCAGCCUAGCGAAUCAUUUGAAGUACGAGUGUAGACGAGAGAAACAGUUUAAAUGUGAUGAAUGUGAUAUGGAUUUUUUUCAGAAGGGUAAUUUUAGAAGACAUAUUAUCAUGAAGCAUAAAAAGUUAUCCCUUUGAGUUUUUUUUUUUUUUCAUAGGUCAUUAAACAAAUUAUUCCUUAUCCCUACUUAUGUUUUUACUUUUUUGUUUAUUCGAUUUUGUAUUUUUGAGAAGAAAUAUAUUUUUUUAAAUUGA